rnacentral:rRNA from 1 species
AGCGAACGCUGGCGGCAGGCCUAACACAUGCAAGUCGAACGAACCUUUCGGGGUUAGUGGCGGACGGGUGAGUAACACGUGGGAACGUGCCUUUAGGUUCGGAAUAACUCAGGGAAACUUGUGCUAAUACCGAAUGUGCCCUUCGGGGGAAAGAUUAAUCGCCUUUAGAGCGGCCCGCGUCUGAUUAGCUAGUUGGUUGAGGUAAUGGCUCACCAAGGCGACGAUCAGUAGCUGGUCUGAGAGGAUGAUCAGCCACAUUGGGACUGAGACACGGCCCAAACUCCUACGGGAGGCAGCAGUGGGGAAUCUUGCGCAAUGGGCGAAAGCCUGACGCAGCCAUGCCGCGUGAAUGAUGAAGGUCUUAGGAUUGUAAAAUUCUUUCACCGGGAACGAUAAUGACGGUACCCGGAGAAGAAGCCCCGGCUAACUUCGUG